rnacentral:rRNA from 1 species
CGGGGGGGUAAGCGUUGUUCGGAAUUACUGGGCGUAAAGGGCUCGUAGGCGGCCAACUAAGUCAUACGUGAAAUCCCUCAGCUUAACUGGGGAACUGCGUGUGAUACUGGAUGGCUUGGAUUUGGGAGAGGGAUGCGGAAUUCCAGGUGUAGCGGUGAAAUGCGUAGAUAUCUGGAGGAACACCGGUGGCGAAGGCGGCAUCCUGGACUAAUAUUGACGCUGAGGAGCGAAAGCCAGGGGAGCAAACGGGAUUAGAUACCCCGGUAGUCCUGGCCCUAAACGAUGAAUGCUUGGUGUAGCGGGUAUCGAUCCCUGCUGUGCCGAAGCUAACGCAUUAAGCAUUCCGCCUGGGGAGUACGGUCGCAAGGCUG